GUCUGUGGCCAUACCACCCUGAACGCAUCUGAUCGCGGAAGCUAAGCAGGGUUGGGCCUGGUUAGUAGUUGGAUGGGGGAACGUCUGGAACUGCAGGAA
rnacentral:rRNA from 1 species